GUAGUUUUGAAUCCUGCUCAGGACGAACGCUGGCGGCGUGCCUAAUACAUGCAAGUCGAACGCCUCUUUUCCCACCGGAGCUUGCUCCAUCCGGGAAAAGAGGAGUGGCGAACGGGUGAGUAACACGUGGGUAACCUGCCCAUCAGAAGGGGAUAACACUUGGAAACAGGUGCUAAUACCGUAUAACAAUCGAAACCGCAUGGUUUCGUUUUGAAAGGCGCUUUACGGUGCCGCUGAUGGAUGGACCCGCGGUGCAUUAGCUAGUUGGUGAGGUAACGGCUCACCAAGGCCACGAUGCAUAGCCGACCUGAGAGGGUGAUCGGCCACAUUGGGACUGAGACACGGCCCAAACUCCUACGGGAGGCAGCAGUAGGGAAUCUUCGGCAAUGGACGAAAGUCUGACCGAGCAACGCCGCGUGAGUGAAGAAGGUUUUCGGAUCGUAAAACUCUGUUGUUAGAGAAGAACAAGGGUGAGAGUAACUGUUCACCCCUUGACGGUAUCUAACCAGAAAGCCACGGCUAACUACGUGCCAGCAGCCGCGGUAAUACGUAGGUGGCAAGCGUUGUCCGGAUUUAUUGGGCGUAAAGCGAGCGCAGGCGGUUUCUUAAGUCUGAUGUGAAAGCCCCCGGCUCAACCGGGGAGGGUCAUUGGAAACUGGGAGACUUGAGUGCAGAAGAGGAGAGUGGAAUUCCAUGUGUAGCGGUGAAAUGCGUAGAUAUAUGGAGGAACACCAGUGGCGAAGGCGGCUCUCUGGUCUGUAACUGACGCUGAGGCUCGAAAGCGUGGGGAGCAAACAGGAUUAGAUACCCUGGUAGUCCACGCCGUAAACGAUGAGUGCUAAGUGUUGGAGGGGUUUCCGCCCUUCAGUGCUGCAGCUAACGCAUUAAGCACUCCGCCUGGGGAGUACGACCGCAAGGUUGAAACUCAAAGGAAUUGACGGGGGCCCGCACAAGCGGUGGAGCAUGUGGUUUAAUUCGAAGCAACGCGAAGAACCUUACCAGGUCUUGACAUCCUUUGACCACUCUAGAGAUAGAGCUUCCCCUUCGGGGGCAAAGUGACAGGUGGUGCAUGGUUGUCGUCAGCUCGUGUCGUGAGAUGUUGGGUUAAGUCCCGCAACGAGCGCAACCCUUAUUGUUAGUUGCCAUCAUUUAGUUGGGCACUCUAGCAAGACUGCCGGUGACAAACCGGAGGAAGGUGGGGAUGACGUCAAAUCAUCAUGCCCCUUAUGACCUGGGCUACACACGUGCUACAAUGGGAAGUACAACGAGUCGCGAAGUCGCGAGGCUAAGCUAAUCUCUUAAAGCUUCUCUCAGUUCGGAUUGUAGGCUGCAACUCGCCUACAUGAAGCCGGAAUCGCUAGUAAUCGCGGAUCAGCACGCCGCGGUGAAUACGUUCCCGGGCCUUGUACACACCGCCCGUCACACCACGAGAGUUUGUAACACCCGAAGUCGGUGAGGUAACCUUUUUGGAGCCAGCCGCCUAAGGUGGGAUAGAUGAUUGGGGUGAAGUCGUAACAAGGU
rnacentral:rRNA from 1 species